CCUACGGGAGGCAGCAGUCGAGAAUCAUUCACAAUGGGGGAAACCCUGAUGGUGCGACGCCGCGUGGGGGAAUGAAGGUCUUCGGAUUGUAAACCCCUGUCAUGUGGGAGCAAAUUAAAAAGAUAGUACCACAAGAGAAAGAGACGGCUAACUCUGUGCCCGCAGCCGCGGUAAUACAGAGGUCUCAAGCGUUGUUCGGAAUCACUGGGCGUAAAGCGUGCGUAGGCUGUUUCGUAAGUCGUGUGUGAAAGGCGCGGGCUCAACCCGCGGACGGCACAAGAGACUGCGAGACUAGAGUAAGGGAGAGGGAACCGGAAGUCUCGGUGUAGCAGUGAAAUGCGUAGAUAUCGGGAGGAACACUCGUGGCGAAGGCGGGUUCCUGGACAUUAACUGACGCUGAGGCACGAAGGCCAGGGGAGCGAAAGGGAUUAGAUACCCUUGUAGUC
rnacentral:rRNA from 1 species